rnacentral:antisense_RNA from 1 species
CGUCAAGGUGGUUGUGCGCAGGGUGCCCUCGGGCGCACCGGUUUUUUGCAGUCCCUUCCGGUCGACUGACCCGUGUAUGGACGACGAGUCAA